UACGAAGGGGGCUAGCGUUGCUCGGAAUUACUGGGCGUAAAGGGAGCGUAGGCGGACAUUUAAGUCAGAGGUGAAAUCCCGGAGCUUAACUUCGGAACUGCCUUUGAUUCUGGAUGUCUUGAGUGUGAGAGAGGUAUGUGGAACUCCGAGUGUAGAGGUGAAAUUCGUAGAUAUUCGGAAGAACACCAGUGGCGAAGGCGACAUACUGGCUCAUUACUGACGCUGAGGCUCGAAAGCGUGGGGAGCAAACAGG
rnacentral:rRNA from 1 species